rnacentral:rRNA from 1 species
UCCACGCCGUAAACGAUGUCGAUUUGGAGGUUGUGCCCUUGAGGCGUGGCUUCCGGAGCUAACGCGUUAAAUCGACCGCCUGGGGAGUACGGCCGCAANGGUUAAAACUCAAAUGAAUUGACGGGGGCCCGCACAAGCGGUGGAGCAUGUGGUUUAAUUCGAUGCAACGCGAAGAACCUUACCUGGUCUUGACAUCCACAGAACUUUCCAGAGAUGGUUGGUGCCUUCGGGAACUGUGAGACAGGUGCUGCAUGGCUGUCGUCAGCUCGUGUUGUGAAAUGUUGGGUUAAGUCCCGCAACGAGCGCAACCCUUAUCCUUUGUUGCCAGCGGUCCGGCCGGGAACUCAAAGGAGACUGCCAGUGAUAAACUGGAGGAAG